UUUGUUAAUGCUUUCAAAGACAACCACCUUAUUUUUAGCAGGAAUAUUGACAUUAUAUGGAAACAUCAGGUGUCUUUUUAUGAGUUUGCAGUCUUUUAUGAUCAAUAUAAUUUCAUCAGUCAUCUCUAACAAGUUCUGGUUAACCAAACUCUUACUGGAACAGUAA
rnacentral:lncRNA from 1 species